GGAGCGUGUGGUUUAAUUCGAUGCUACACGAAGAACCUUACCAGGGUUUGACAUGUAAGUGGUAGGAAGCCGAAAGGUGACCGACCCUUCGGGGAGCUUACACAGGUGCUGCAUGGCUGUCGUCAGCUCGUGUCGUGAGAUGUUCGGUUAAGUCCGCAAUCGAGCGCAACCCUCGCUGUGUGUUAUAUGUGUCACACGGGACUGCCGGUCUUAAGCCGGAGGAAGGUGGGGAUGAUGUCAAGUCAGCAUGGCCUUUAUAUCUUGGGCA
rnacentral:rRNA from 1 species